ACACUCCUGCGGGAGGCAGCAGUGGGGAAUAUUGGACAAUGGGCGCAAGCCUGAUCCAGCCAUGCCGCGUGAGUGAUGAAGGCCCUAGGGUUGUAAAGCUCUUUCACCGGUGAAGAUAAUGACGGUAACCGGAGAAGAAGCCCCGGCUAACUUCGUGCCAGCAGCCGCGGUAAUACGAAGGGGGCUAGCGUUGUUCGGAUUUACUGGGCGUAAAGCGCACGUAGGCGGACUAUUAAGUCAGGGGUGAAAUCCCGGGGCUCAACCCCGGAACUGCCUUUGAUACUGGUAGUCUUGAGUUCGAGAGAGGUGAGUGGAAUUCCGAGUGCAGAGGUGAAAUUCGUAGAUAUUCGGAGGAACACCAGUGGCGAAGGCGGCUCACUGGCUCGAUACUGACGCUGAGGUGCGAAAGCGUGGGGAGCAAACAGGAUUAGAAACCCGUGUAGUCCCAUGAU
rnacentral:rRNA from 1 species